rnacentral:rRNA from 1 species
AACGUAGGAGGCGAGCGUUAUCCGGAUUUACUGGGUGUAAAGCGCAUGCAGGCGGUAGGCUAAGUUGGGUGUGAAAGCUCCUGGCUCAACUGGGAGAGGUCGCUCAAGACUGGCGUACUCGAGCGUGGUAGGGGAAGGCGGAAUUCCGGGUGUAGUGGUGAAAUGCGUAGAUAUCCGGAGGAACACCAGUGGCGAAGGCGGCCUUCUGGACCACGACUGACGCUCAGAUGCGACAGCUAGGGGAGCAAACGGG